UGUGAAUAUAUAUAGUUACAUCAUGACAUAAAUCCUACCAAGUAGUAGUUGCAUCACAGAUCUGAACAUCAGGGAAUCUAGUUUCCUUCUACACUAUGAUGAAUAAUGAGUUUGUAUCCAUAAAUGGUGUGGAAGAAAAAAUGACACUCAUGUAAUGGCACAACUUCUUAUCUCCAUUCAUCCAGACUCCAAAGAAACAGUUAUACUCUUGUAAGCUUAAAACUAAAGUGUACAACUGUCAAAAAGCCUUCUGAUUUCGAAAACAGGUCAUGCACUGCAACUGGAAUUUUCUCUUGCAAUGCAGAGAUGAAAUAAUGGCUACAACUGGAGAAGGUCUUGAAUGGAUUAGGAAGAUAUGAGUAGAUGAGGCGUAUGAAACGGGGCAAAAUCUUGGGAGACAAACAGUCUUAGCUAAGGGAAGAAAGCAGUAGCUACGGAAGAGCUGUGUAAUGGGUUCUAUCAUAAUGGGUUGAAAGAAACUCAUCUGGUACAUAUACUUGCAAGUUAUAGUGAAUUUGUUCACUUUGCAUAUAUUUGUUCAUUUGUUGCUGUGUUGUCUUUGUUUCAAGUAUAGGACCAAUGUCUAGUCCUAAGAGUGUGAUCCACAGCAGCCUUGUGUUGGUUCUACAGGGCUCUACUGCAACUUAAUAUGUUGAAGAAGUCAAUCUAAGCUCGAGCAAUGAUUGUUCAACAUAUGCAAUGAAAGUGGAAAAUUAGUCUUUUGUUCAAGUCGAGGUCAAUGCUUCAGGACCUCAAGUUGAUGAUAGGCUUUGCUUUCUUUCUUUUUUUUGGUUCAGGAUAAAUUAUUACAUUGCUUAUGAGACUAUUAAUAAGAAGACUGAAAAUGUAAUGUCAAUGUUCAUUGCAAAUGGUAUUUAAAGUGAUUACCUUGGAAAUUUGAUCAGGUCAUUCAAAUGAGAUCUUCUUGCAAUGCAGAUAAAACAACGUUUACAACUGGUGGAGGUCAUGUAUGGGUUGGGGAGAUAUGAGUAGAAGUGUCUGAAAAAUGCUAUGUAUUUUUUAUUUUCUUUGGAGA